ensembl:ncRNA F01G12.17 ncRNA
UUAAGGUGUUGAUUUCAACAAUUGCUUUGUGUGACCCCCGUUGACCCUUUCCUCCCACGUCUGACAGGGUGCCACGCUGGAUGGGAGGAUAGUGACAGCUGCGGAGCGCGUCUUUUGCUCGGAGAGCUCUCGAAAUGUUACAAUCAGUAAGAGGUGCUCA